GCAGCAUCUCUUCGUGCUCUACCUGAUCCUGAUCCCUGGUUUUCAAUACUCAUAGGUUCUGAGUUGGAAGCAAUAGGUACACUAAGUUCGCCACCAUUGGUUUUAUGCCUCUCAUAAUCAAGGAGAGCCUUCUCAUAAAAUCCUCGAAAUGUCCACGAAACUGUUGUGCAUGUCUUUGGGGGCUUGAAAGACUCUCCUACUUGCCUCCACAACUUGCAUGAAGUCACCU
rnacentral:misc_RNA from 1 species